CCAGAGGCAAUGGCUCCUCAGGUUUCCGGCUUCAUAGAAUGAUUUCAUUUGUUCUCGAACCAGUUGUAACAAUGGGUUAUACAGUAGGCAUGUUUGAGUGCCUGGGUUCUCCUGAGCCUAAAGUCUUGGAGAUUCAUCCAUUCAUCCUCCGUCAGAAGUUUAUUCUUUAUUGUUGCUGAAUAGUGUUUGAUUGCAUGAAUAUAUUGCAAUUGUGUAUUCAUGCUCCUGAUGCGUGAGCCUGGGUUGUUUACACUUUUAGGUUAUUAUGAAUAAGAUCACCAUGGAUAUAUGUGUGUAAUAUUUUGAGAGGCAUAUUUUUAUUUAUUUUUCGUGAAUUUGUAGGAGUGGAAAUAGUGGAUCAUAAGAUAGCCGCGUAUAUAAAUUUGCAAGAAACUGCCUCAUGAUUUUUCACAGAUGUUGAGCGGUUUUAUACUCCGACCGGUAACAUCUGAGGGUGCUAUUGUUCUGCAUUGUCUUCCACAGUGAAUUCUGUUAGUCGUUACCUUCAGCCUUUCUAAUGAGUGUGAAGUAACAUAUUCUGGUGGCUUUAAUUUGCAUUUCACUGAUAGUUCUGAUGAACGCACUGUCAUGUGUUUGUGGACAUUCGUCAAGUCUUUUGCCCUUUUUUUAACUGACUUGUUUGAUCAUCAUAUCAUUAUUUAUUUGCGGAUAUUAUUUAGAUAGUCUGGGUACAGUGAUAUGAUUUACAUACUGCAGAUAUUUUCUUAUUUUAUGAUUUGGUGUCUCGUUUUCUUAUGGGCGUCUUUCAAUGAGCAGAAGUUUUAAGUUUGAUGAAAUCAGAUCUAUUAUAAUUUCUUUUAUCAUUAGUUCUUUCUUUGGUUCUGUCUAGAAAAUCCUUUCCUAGUUGGUCACAAAAAUAAUUUCCUAUGUUUUCUUCAAUGAACUUCAUAGUAUAGCUUUUGUAUUUAGGUUUGUAACCUGCCCCUGAUUAAGUUAAUUUUUGCAUGCUGCCUGUGAUAUGAAUCAUAUUUAAUUCAGCCAAAUAUGUUGAAAAGACUUUCCUCUCCUGACUGAAUUCCACUGAAAUCUUUUCAGAAGUCAUUUGGGUUAUUUAUGGACAUUCUGCUCUGUUCCAUUGAUCUUUUGGUCUUUGUGUCAGUACCCAGAUUAUUUUUAACAUUAUAGUAAGUCGUAAACUAAGAUAAUGUUAAUCCUUUAAUUUCCUUGUUCCUUUUCAAGAUUCUGAAGCUGGCAUUCUGUACUUAUGUGGAGCCUACUCUUCUUCCUGUGUGCUAAUUGAAAAUGACUCUUUCAUGAAUAGGUUAUUGAAGAAUUCCAGUACGUAAACACACAUGCAUCUUUUCACCAUGCUUCCUAGAAGCAGUGUGUGACGUGCCAUGAAAUUUGUCAAGUGUCUGAGCAAUUCUUUGGUGCAGUGAAACAGGUUUCCUUACAAGUGUGCCAUCUGCUGUCAGUGUUGGCCAACUGCAUUCAUUACAAGACGAUAAACUUAAUUUCCUUUCUUUGUUCAUUCAGUGCCUUCAGCGACAGACUAUCUAGCCCAGUCCCUAACACACUCCUAACAAACACACACACACACACACACAUACAGUGUGUACACUGGCAAAUAGAUGUGCCAUUGUUUUGUAUCUUAUUUGGGUCCUGGCUAGUGUGUUCUUCCCUUCCCAGGAGUUUUUUGGGAUGCCCGGAGGAUUCAGAUUUCUGCUUGGAAUAAGCCUCGGAGAACUCUUAAAAAUGACUUUUUGUCAGGUCAUUGCCAAUCUGUUCCAAACCUCAUUAUAGAUAAUUACUUUCAGUGUUUUUUAAAGUAUUCUGUGUCGUCUCUAAGACUUCCAGGUAGUAGGAUCCAUUAACAACAUGAAAAGUUGUUUUUAGACAUAACAAUUUGUAAGUAAAAAGUUCAGACACAUCAAAUAUAUUUUGCUUCCCUAUUCUCUUGCCAUUUGGAGUGCUUAAGAAACUUGAGAAAACUUGAAAAGGUUUACCAUGGGCAGGAACUAUUACUUGCUAGUAACGUGUUUUUAGCAUUACCAGCUAAACACGAGGUCAGUUUUUGAAAGUCAGUGUUUAAUUGGAGAGUGAUUGAUUGACUGAUUAAGCUAUCGUCCUCCUCUUUGAGUCCUGAUAUGUGACUUUCCAGGCCUACCUUUGUGAUUAAACUUAGCCACAGUGAGUACUGACGAUUUUUUUUGCAUUAAAAUCAGAGAUUUUGUUCUAAAGUUGGUUUUAUAGUUUGGCUCUUUUUAACAAAUGUGUUUUAUACCUUUUUGUAACAUUAGAAUUAGAUUUUAUUUUGUAAGGCCAUUUUAAGCCUCAAAAUCAAUGAUGAGUCCACACAUAGCACCCAUGAGUGCUGAAUGCUUUGUGUUUCUUCUGUCUUUCUUUCUUUCUUUCUUUCUUUCUUUCUUUCUUUCUUUCUUUCUUCCUUCCUUCCUUCCUUCCUUCCUUCCUUCCUUUCUUUCUUUUCUUUUCUUUUCUUUUCUUUUCUUUUCUUUUCUUUUCUUUUCUUUCUCUUUAUGGCUGCACCCACGGUAUGUGGAGGUUUCCAGGAUAGGGGUCCAAUCACAGCUACAGCUGCCAGCCUCCACCACAGCCACAGAAACGGCAGAUCUGAGCCGCGUCUGCGACCUGCACCACAGCUCAUGGCAGUGCCAGAUCCUUAACCCACUGAGUGAGGCCAGGGAUUGAACCCACAACCUCAUGGUUCCUAGUCGGAUUCAUUUCCACGACGGGAACUCCUAUUUCAUUUUAUCAUUAUCCCCAUUUACAGAGGAUGACACUGUGCUUAGACAGCUGAGAUAAUUUACCCCUGAUCGUAAGCAAAUGGUGGAGCAAGGCCAGUAUUUUUACUAGGUCUAUCUGAGUUCAUAAUAAUCUCUUCAUACACAUUACUAUUUCUCUAUUUCAGACAUUUGCUUUUUAAAACAGCUGUCCAUAAAAGCUCUGAAGUUUUCAAAUCUCAGCUAUUUUCUAAUUAAAAUUUGUGUUGUUAAUAAAUUUAUAAAUUUAACAUGAAGGAGAAUUUUUUUAGAAAAAGAAAAUGUAAUGGUGUGUACAUGUCUAGAACAUAAUGCUGCUUCUCAGCGGGGUCUUUCUUUUUUCUAUAAUUUUGCAUCUUCACUACUCCAUCAGCCAUUGUUCAUCUUGUCUUAAUCUACAAUUUCCUGCAAGUAUUAGCAUAUGCAUUUGUCAGUCUGCUUAUAAGCUUUUAUUUUUAUCUUUUACAAUUUGAUACGUAGUUGACUUAUGGUGUAAGUUUAAUAUAUACACCAUAAUCAUUCAGUACAUGUAUAAAAUUGGAUUUUUCUUCCUAACAUUUUCUGAGUCUUAUUUCUGGUCAACUCAGCUCUCUAAUUUUAUACCACCAGGAUGAAAGAAUGUGAGCAGGUGACGUGCAGUAUUCUCUCUCUCUCUUUUCCUUGUAUGACAGCUAAUCCGUUAAGAAGCAGAAAGUGGCCGGUGCAUUUUAUUGUCUCAGGCCUGCUUUUCCAUUUUUGUGAGGAUGCUCUGCGCUCUUUGGACCUCUGUGUGUUCACGUCUGAGAAUGGGGGUCUGUGUGUGGACACGUAGCGCCCGCAUUACCAGCACGUCCUGAAGUGCACACUUCAUCCUCCCCCUGCUGGGUCCAUCUCAAAUUCAUGUCUGGGAGUCCAGGAUCUGAAAACACUUGAUGUGUCUGAAUAUGCAGACAAUCCAGAGAUGGCUCAUAGGCCCAGGAAAUGCCUGGAGAUAAUGAAAGAAUCAGUCUAGCUUCUAUCUGCCAGAGUUUUCAAUGGACCAUUUAGUUACCAAGGAACAGGUCAAGUAUGAGCAAAAAAGAACAGCAUAUGGAAGCACAGCAUUCUAGCAUAGUAAAAAGGAAAACUCCUGAGAAAACCAAAUUCUUAGGCUCUACUACUGAACUUAUGAAUGUAAUAUGAAUUUAAAUUGAUAUGACUUUACUGAUACAAAUUCAGAUUUAAAAUAUGAAUUUAGGUGGGUUCCUCAAGCUCUAUAUAGUAAAGCAAUGGUAAUGCCUUUGACUAUAAGCUCCUCGAGGAUCAGGACAGCAUCUUAUAAAUCACUGUAUUGCAUAAUAACAACUUCGAAAAACAUCAACAUGUCAUAUAAGGAUUUUAAUCUUUUUGACCAAGUAUUCCUUCAAAAUAAUUUUGAAAAAAAUGUACUCUAAUCUAUAUCUUAAUUUUUCAUUAUGUCUUCAUAAGGAUAUAAUUUUCUCUAUAUCAUAAAUAUUGAUUCUACAUAAAAGUGUUAUAUCACAGUUUCAAUUGUAUGCAGUAAAAUAUAAACAUCAUAGCAAAUUAAAAUUCACUGAUAUCCAUUUAAACAGUAGAAGUACAAGCUCAGUUUUAAGAGAUGGAAUUUUAAGGUGUUAGUUUUCUUCUUAAAAUUUUCCUUCUGGUUCAGUUCCCCCCCCCCCACGUAAUUAUUAUUGGUCCACAACGUUCGAAAAACAUUAAUGUAUUUAAAAUGUUUAUGACUGCUAAAGAUUUAUAUGAAACACGUCUCAAUUAAGUGAAGAGGUGCUGCCAGUGAUGUUGAAUUAAGGAGAAUUCAGGCUUCUCCUCAUGAAGACCAUUCCUGACCCCCUGGACCUGGUUAGACCUGCUCAGUUUAAUUCUAUUGAGCCAUCAGUAAGCGAAAGAGAGUAAGAGCUGACAGAAAUGCAGCUAGGAAAGAGAAGUCAUAACAAAAAACAGUGGCCAAAUAAAGCAUAGUUAGAACAAGAAGUGAUUUACUACAGUUGCAUGAUUUUGGAGAUUGAAGUUUCAGCAGAAGACAGUUAAUGGAAGUUAGAUUGGAGAGAAUAUUAAAGAAGGGUCGUGGAAAAGGAGAGGCAGUAAAUGAAAAGAAAAAUUCCAUGAAAUUGGGGUAUGUGAGCUUGGCGGGGGGGGGCUUAUGGUGACUGCUCCAAGCAGUGCCACAUCAUCGUUAAUGGAUGAAUGAAAGGCUUUCUAAGAUGUUAUAAGAAGCCAGCUGGAACUGGAGUUCCUGUUUUGGCUCAGCGCAUCAAGAACCCAGCAUAGUCUCUGUGAGCAUGCAGGUUUGAUCCCUGGCCUCCUCAGGGUUAAGCAGCCAGCACUUCCACAAGCUGCAGUGUAGGUCGCAGAUACGGCUCAAAUCUGGUAUUACUGAGGCUGUGGCCUAGGCCUGCAUCUGUAACUCUGAUU
rnacentral:lncRNA from 1 species